CAGCAGCCACGGGAAUACGUAGGUGGCAAGCGUUGUCCGGAAUUAUUGGGCGUAAAGGGCUCGCAGGCGGUUUCUUAAGUCUGAUGUGAAAGCCCCCGGCUCAACCGGGUGGGUCAUUGGAAACUGGGAAACUUGAGUGCAGAAGAGGAGAGUGGAAUUCCACGUGUAGCGGUGAAAUGCGUUGAGAUCGGAAAGAACACCAACGGCGAAGGCACUCUGCUGGGCCGACACUGACACUGAGAGACGAAAGCUAGGGGAGCAAAUGGGAUUAGAUACCCCUGUAGUCCCUGUCUCUUAUACA
rnacentral:rRNA from 1 species